rnacentral:rRNA from 1 species
GUGCCAGCCGCCGCGGUAAUACGGAGGGUGCAAGCGUUAAUCGGAAUUACUGGGCGUAAAGCGAGUGUAGGUGGUCGAAUAAGUCGGAUGUGAAAGCCCUGGGCUUAACCUGGGAAUUGCAUUCGAUACUGUUUGGCUAGAGUCUGAUAGAGGGAAGUGGAAUUCCAGGUGUAGCGGUGAAAUGCGUAGAUAUCUGGAGGAACAUCAGUGGCGAAGGCGGCUUCCUGGAUCAAGACUGACACUGAGGCUCGAAAGCGUGGGGAGCAAACAGGAUUAGAAACCCUGGUAGUCC